GGCCGGCCCCCAUCUUUACUGCAAAUGCUCCUCUAUGGACCAAGCUGUCUUAAAUAUUUCAUCACUGAGCAUACUGUACUAGGCCAUCAGUAUUGACAACCCAACUACAAUCAUGGUGCUUUUUGUAGCAGAAAAGUAGUGGGUGGUACCUUGGGCAAUCUACCAAUAUCAGACAUAUUACCCCUCUCUGCCCGAUUUUCGUGAAGAGAAGCAUUGUUCAAGAAAUCAAAAUCAAUUGACCAAUACAAAGCAAUGGAUGACAAACGAAAGCUAUUAAUAAAAGCAAUUUCCCUAACACUGGCAGUCCUUUUGCUUCUUCUCUCUGUGCUCAUCAUAAUUGUUUACCUUUGUUACUUUCCAGCCGAGGCC
rnacentral:sRNA from 2 species